rnacentral:rRNA from 1 species
AGUCGCCGCGGUAAUACGAAGGGUGCAAGCGUUAAUCGGAAUUACUGGGCGUAAAGCGUGCGUAGGUGGUGGUUUAAGUCCGUUGUGAAAGCCCUGGGCUCAACCUGGGAAUUGCAGUGGAUACUGGGUCACUAGAGUGUGGUAGAGGAUAGUGGAAUUUCCGGUGUAGCAGUGAAAUGCGUAGAGAUCGGAAGGAACAUCUGUGGCGAAGGCGACUAUCUGGGCCAACACUGACACUGAGGCACGAAAGCGUGGGGAGCAAACAGGAUUAGAUACCCCCGUAGUCCCUGUCUCUUAUACA